rnacentral:rRNA from 1 species
GUUGUAAUCUGGUAGAGGAGUCGCUGGCCGACAACUGCUCCCAAGUUCUCUGGAAUGGGACGCCAUAGAGGGUGAGAGCCCCGUGGGGUGUGGUUGAGACGGUCUUGAUGCGACUCCUUCGGCGAGUCGAGUAGUUUGGGAAUGCUGCUCUAAAUGGGAGGUAAAUUCCUUCUAAGGCUAAAUAUCGGCCGGAGACCGAUAGCGCACAAGUAGAGUGAUCGAAAGAUGAAAAGCACUUUGAAAAGAGGGUGAAACAGUACGUGAAAUUGUUGAAAGGGAAGCGCCCGCGACUAGACUUGCACCUGAUCGAUCGCUUUGUGUUAUCCACAAAGUCUCCCGUUCAUGGUUGCAGGCCAGCAUCGGUUUGUGUUUUGGGGGAAAAGGGUAGCAGGAAUGUAGCUCGUCUCUAGGGAUGAGUGUUAUAGCCUGUUGCAAGAUACCCUGACAUAGAUCGAGGACCGCGUCUUUGGCACGGAUGCUGGCAUAAUGGUCGUUGACGACCCGUCUUGAAACACGGACCAAGGAGUCGAGGUUUUCCGCGAGUGUGUGGGUGACAGACCCGCCCGCGAAAUGAAAGUGAAUGCAGGUGGGAGCCUUUUUUUAAAAGGUGCACCACCGACCGAUCCCGAAGUUCUCGGAGGGAAUCGAGUAGGAGCGGAGGGCCUCGGGACCCGAAAGAUGACGAACUAUGCCCUGCAUAGAAUGAAGCCAGAGGAAACUCUGGUGGAGG